GUAACCAAUGCUAUCAAGGAAGGGGACUUUGUCAACACCUUUCGGACCAGUAAAUCAGGCACAUAAGCAGCUGUCCGACGAGGGAACCAAUCCUAUCAAGGAAGGGGACUUUGUCAACACCUUUGAAUGCGUCAGCCACGACCUCAAGAUCAGGCUGGUUAGUUUUUCUAUUCAGCUCAAAGAAGCGCUGUAGCACAAGAGAGGCAAUUGGUAGCAAAUCAGUCUGGUCAGAAUUCACCGGAGAGUCCUUCCUUAGAGCAGGAUUCUCAAUCGGCAGCUGAAAGAUUAGUGAGACUGACUGAUGCUGAACAUGUACCAUCUGUUCCAUGUGAGAGAAAUAGCAUGUCGAUAUCAUCUUGAAAUAAUCACAGCUGGGCGGACGAGGUUGGUAGCUGAGGGUGAUGUGCAGAGCGGGAGGAAGGAGGUGUGAGGCUUGGAACUCUCCUUGUGAAGUGGUGCUCAGGGACAGCGGUGAGGAGCAUGGCAGGUGUCCAACUUGACCUCCUCGCUCACAGCAACAACAAGGGUGGCCGUGGCGACAAGGGAGGAGACAACAACCAGCAGAGCAAUGAGAUCGCUAAGUCUCUGAUCCCGCCACUUCCUGCUCGAUUCGCUUGGCUCCUGCACUGAUUUCUCUUUGUUUUCCCAGGUUUGUUGUGGUUGCAGAAUGGCGCAGAGCAACUGGGAAGCGGACUACGUCUACGGACAUGAUGCGUGAUGUACACAUCCAUCACUACUAUUUGCUCAAGUGGAUCAUCCAAACGGCCAACCUGUUCAUGGUGGAGGGGGCGAUGCCUGCUAAGUCCUCCAAUUCAUGCUCAGGUGCAACCUGGAAUGAUUGGGUUUAUGACAUUGGGUGGCAGUAUAAUUCUUAUGCUGACGACAAUUUUUUUUUGACGAGGAUUCAGUGGUUGUCUGUGGCAUGUGUUCAACUAGGAACUCAUCAUUAUUGGAGUCUUUCAUCUGUAUAUACCAAAGCAAGGCGGGAGAAGAAGCAGAUUGAUUGAUGAAGGAAACACAUGAAAAAGAGGAAAAGAGCAGCUAAAUUAUUGAUGGGGCAUGUGACCUAUCCCUGUUGGUUCUCCUUUCCGCAAAUUAAACCAAUAAUCGAUAUUGUCAGUUUGAGAGUAUGCUGGAUGUGAGAGUUAAUGAAGAAGAUCACUCAUGCUGUUGAAAGUACACAAGCAGUCACUGUUAAGGUCUACCGAAAAACAUGUAGUUUGGGGAUGGCAACAGUUCUACUCACAAUGGUGCUGCAUGCUGGAAGUACUCAUUAUCCUGUUGGCUCUACUCUGGGUUCCAUAUUAUGGAGAAGGUGUUCUGGAUGGUCCUAACAAGCUCAUAAACAUGGAUGUGUCUUGCUACCCUCCGGGUGAUGUUCCUAAGAUGGGAACCAAAUGAAGAAUCGGUGAAGGGUACAACCAAUAAAGAUGAUGCCGGGAACUUGACAACCUCUGAUAGCAAUGUUAUCGGUGCUCCACCUCCGGAGAAAGCAUGUGGAAGAUCAUUUCCUUUGUUCUCUGAAUUACAUGCACUUUGGUGAACAAAAAGUAUGAUUGGUGUUCCUGGUGAAAAUGAGUGAAGCUAGAAGAUGCUAUGAGAAGGAACUUGCCAAGACUAUUUGAAGAACAGCCUGAUCUCCUGCAUGAGGGAAAAGGAAGUAAGAAGAGGAGAAAAACUCAGUUUUACUUGCAGAUGCUCAUUCCUGGAGAUAUGUAAUGAGCAGAUUUUGGACUUGCUCAAUCCAAAUGCAACAAAUUUACAGGGCUCUUUUGUGUCUGCAGGACAAUCCCAACGAUUGUCCAUUCAUUUCAUCCGUCGUGUACAUCUUGGAGAACGGAAGCGCCAAACUUCAUGUCCCAAACCAACCGAUAGGUCAGUUAUCACAUUACAAGAUAUUUGGUAAAGGGGGGCUCAGAUCAGAUAGAUGCAAAGGUGGUUGGUUAUAAGGAUUGCAGAGGCCAAACCUGAUGUAACCCCAUUGUUUUGUAAUGGGCAAGUUAAGCUUCUGAUGCUACAUAGUUGGCAUGCAGCAAAAUCUAGCAACCAUUGGUGCAGUGCCAAAUAAAGUAACCACAGCCGGUUUUAUCAACAGAAUCAUAUUUCAUAGGCUCCCCUUCGCAGAUAUAUAUUUUGUCGUAGAAGUUGCUAUUCCAUCAGUUGGAAGUUAGUAUUUUAUUUAGAGAAAGCGCGGCCUGGCCAGAAUGAAGCCGAGGGCAUUGACCAUGAUGCUGUUGCUAGGAUGGACUUCAGAGGGUUUGGCACGUCGGAGAAGUGCAUUCCGCUUUAGGUGGGAUCUUUUGGUCCAAUCCAAGAGAUGGCUGUUAGCUCUUUGGUACAUGCACUUGGAUCUCAGGAUAGCGCCAGGCACAGCUCUAUAAUGCAAAGCUAUUGGAGUGAUCAAACUGUUGUGAUGAAUGGUGUUCUUGUUGUAAAUUGGUGAUCAUCUGAAAAACAUUUCAUCUUUGAGUAGUAUGAUAACGAUCACUCACAUGUUUGCCUCGGGUACAAGAAAGCAAUCGA